ACCCGCAUUGAAAAAUGUCUAAAAGCGAACAGGAAUCUACCUCAUUGAGACACAAACCACCCUAGUCAAGUUUCAAAGUAAGUUUGGACACAAACCAAAUGUAUAUGGCAUUUCGAUUUUUGCGAGUGUGUUUGUUUGUUUACCUCUAUACAUUCGCACUAUGAACCAGUUGAACCGUUGAACCGGUGCAGCUGUCAAGUUAAUUUUCCUCGCGCUUUUUAUUGUCGCCAUCUUUUUUUACUGUUAUACAUAUUUACCAUUUUGAAUCGGAAGAGGUUUCUAAUAUUUUUGAAACUCCCGGAAUGAAAAAGAAAAUUGCGGAAAUUUGACCAGUGGAUUCUGCUGGAUUGUUUCGGUGAGGCGGCGGUAGUAGUGGGAGUGAUUUCGGCGGGAAUCCAUCCGAAGUGCUGAACGUCAGACAUGCCAACAAAACAUGAAGCAGCCAAUUCAUCUCCUACCGACGAAAAACGUUAUCUUCCGACCUUUCGUGCUAAUCCAAGUUUAAAAUAAAACCAUACACUACCAUGAAUCCCAAUGAUCAGGUCCAGUUUUCUGCCAGUUCGAUUUGUGACGAUCGUCGGAUGUCUGGGCAUCAGCGAGGAAGGUGCGAUUCCCCUCGAAGAGGAAGUCCAUGGAAGUGCAUUACUGAGUUGCGAUGGGAUGAGUUCUGCCAAAGCAAGAAUAAUGUUUCAGCUCGGAUGCCAGAAGCUGCAAAAGCAACAGGAUCAGUUCUUCGAACUAUAGCAGGAACAUCAAUGGACCAGCUCCAGUUCGUCAUCCACCAACGGGAAACAGUCUUCAUUGUACUGUGGGGUGUACCAUAAGUUUCCAGAAAACCCGGAAGUGGAUAAACCCAAAACGGUGGUAAAGCUGCUGAGCCGAGAAACCGAAAAGAACCGACCAUUGCGUGCCCGUGCAAAUCUAUGGCAGAAGAACCGGUUCGACGGUACUUUUCGACGACAAAGCUCUGCCGAGCCAUGAUAGACGGACACUUCGUUUUGACAGAAUGUCUCUUUCGGAAACGAGUAAACAGAGCAAUCACAAACCCUCCUUUUCCGUGCACCAACCGUGCCCACUAGGAAUCGCAAUUCGUUUGGUUGGCCUGAUUUCUUCGGGGAUAACGAUCGAUCACCAUGCUCACAAAGCAGUCGGAUCUGCGGCCACUCGAUCCCAGCAGAUCCACGUAUAUUUCUCGGAAUAGCCUUGUCCUUAAAGCGGACAAUUCAUAAAAUAUUUAUGUAUUAUAAAUUACGAAUAUAAAC